UAGGGAAUCUUCCACAAUGGGCGAAAGCCUGAUGGAGCAACGCCGCGUGUGUGAUGAAGGGUUUCGGCUCGUAAAACACUGUUGUAAGAGAAGAAUGACAUUGAGAGUAACUGUUCAGGUAUUGACGGUAUUUAACCAGAAAGCCACGGCUAACUACGUGCCAG
rnacentral:rRNA from 1 species